rnacentral:rRNA from 1 species
UUAAGCGACUAAGCGUACACGGUGGAUGCCCUGGCAGUCAGAGGCGAUGAAGGGCGUGCUAAUCUGCGAUAAGCGCCGGUAAGGUGAUAUGAACCGUUAUAACCGGCGAUACCCGAAUGGGGAAACCCAGUGUGACUCGUCACACUAUCAUUAACUGAAUCCAUAGGUUAAUGAGGCGAACCGGGGGAACUGAAACAUCUAAGUACCCCGAGGAAAAGAAAUCAACCGAGAUUCCCCCAGUAGCGGCGAGCGAACGGGGAGGAGCCCAGAGCCUGAAUCAGCAUGUGUGUUAGUGGAAGCGUCUGGAAAGGCGCGCGAUACAGGGUGACAGCCCCGUACACAAAAGCGCAUGUGCUGUGAGCUCGAUGAGUAGGGCGGGACACGUGGUAUCCUGUCUGAAUAUGGGGGGACCAUCCUCCAAGGCUAAAUACUCCUGACUGACCGAUAGUGAACCAGUACCGUGAGGGAAAGGCGAAAAGAACCCCGGCGAGGGGAGUGAAAAAAGAACCUGAAACCGUGUACGUACAAGCAGUGGGAGCACAGGUUUACCUGUGUGACUGCGUACCUUUUGUAUAAUGGGUCAGCGACUUAUAUUCUGUAGCAAGGUUAACCGUAUAGGGGAGCCGGAGGGAAACCGAGUCUUAACCGGGCGUUAAGUUGCAGGGUAUAGACCCGAAACCCGGUGAUCUAGCCAUGGGCAGGUUGAAGGUUGGGUAACACUAACUGGAGGACCGAACCGACUAAUGUUGAAAAAUUAGCGGAUGACCUGUGGCUGGGGGUGAAAGGCCAAUCAAACCGGGAGAUAGCUGGUUCUCCCCGAAAGCUAUUUAGGUAGCGCCUCGUGAACUCAUCUCCGGGGGUAGAGCACUGUUUCGGCUAGGGGGCCAUCCCGGCUUACCAACCCGAUGCAAACUGCGAAUACCGGAGAAUGUUAUCACGGGAGACACACGGCGGGUGCUAACGUCCGUCGUGAAGAGGGAAACAACCCAGACCGCCAGCUAAGGUCCCAAAGUCAUGGUUAAGUGGGAAACGAUGUGGGAAGGCCCAGACAGCCAGGAUGUUGGCUUAGAAGCAGCCAUCAUUUAAAGAAAGCGUAAUAGCUCACUGGUCGAGUCGGCCUGCGCGGAAGAUGUAACGGGGCUAAACCAUGCACCGAAGCUGCGGCAGCGACGCUGAUGCGUUGUUGGGUAGGGGAGCGUUCUGUAAGCCUGUGAAGGUGUGUCGUGAGGCAUGCUGGAGGUAUCAGAAGUGCGAAUGCUGACAUAAGUAACGAUAAAGCGGGUGAAAAGCCCGCUCGCCGGAAGACCAAGGGUUCCUGUCCAACGUUAAUCGGGGCAGGGUGAGUCGACCCCUAAGGCGAGGCCGAAAGGCGUAGUCGAUGGGAAACGGGUUAAUAUUCCCGUACUUGGUGUUACUGCGAAGGGGGGACGGAGAAGGCUAUGUUGGCCGGGCGACGGUUGUCCCGGUUUAAGCGUGUAGGUGUGUGUUCCAGGUAAAUCCGGUUCACUUUAACACUGAGGCGUGACGACGAGGCACUACGGUGCUGAAGCAACAAAUGCCCUGCUUCCAGGAAAAGCCUCUAAGCAUCAGGUAACAUCAAAUCGUACCCCAAACCGACACAGGUGGUCAGGUAGAGAAUACCAAGGCGCUUGAGAGAACUCGGGUGAAGGAACUAGGCAAAAUGGUGCCGUAACUUCGGGAGAAGGCACGCUGACACGUAGGUGAAGUGAUUUACUCAUGGAGCUGAAGUCAGUCGAAGAUACCAGCUGGCUGCAACUGUUUAUUAAAAACACAGCACUGUGCAAACACGAAAGUGGACGUAUACGGUGUGACGCCUGCCCGGUGCCGGAAGGUUAAUUGAUGGGGUCAGCGCAAGCGAAGCUCCUGAUCGAAGCCCCGGUAAACGGCGGCCGUAACUAUAACGGUCCUAAGGUAGCGAAAUUCCUUGUCGGGUAAGUUCCGACCUGCACGAAUGGCGUAAUGAUGGCCAGGCUGUCUCCACCCGAGACUCAGUGAAAUUGAACUCGCUGUGAAGAUGCAGUGUACCCGCGGCAAGACGGAAAGACCCCGUGAACCUUUACUAUAGCUUGACACUGAACAUUGAGCCUUGAUGUGUAGGAUAGGUGGGAGGCUUUGAAGUGUGGACGCCAGUCUGCAUGGAGCCGACCUUGAAAUACCACCCUUUAAUGUUUGAUGUUCUAACGUGGACCCGUAAUCCGGGUUGCGGACAGUGUCUGGUGGGUAGUUUGACUGGGGCGGUCUCCUCCUAAAGAGUAACGGAGGAGCACGAAGGUUGGCUAAUCCUGGUCGGACAUCAGGAGGUUAGUGCAAUGGCAUAAGCCAGCUUGACUGCGAGCGUGACGGCGCGAGCAGGUGCGAAAGCAGGUCAUAGUGAUCCGGUGGUUCUGAAUGGAAGGGCCAUCGCUCAACGGAUAAAAGGUACUCCGGGGAUAACAGGCUGAUACCGCCCAAGAGUUCAUAUCGACGGCGGUGUUUGGCACCUCGAUGUCGGCUCAUCACAUCCUGGGGCUGAAGUAGGUCCCAAGGGUAUGGCUGUUCGCCAUUUAAAGUGGUACGCGAGCUGGGUUUAGAACGUCGUGAGACAGUUCGGUCCCUAUCUGCCGUGGGCGCUGGAGAACUGAGGGGGGCUGCUCCUAGUACGAGAGGACCGGAGUGGACGCAUCACUGGUGUUCGGGUUGUCAUGCCAAUGGCACUGCCCGGUAGCUAAAUGCGGAAGAGAUAAGUGCUGAAAGCAUCUAAGCACGAAACUUGCCCCGAGAUGAGUUCUCCCUGAGACUUAAAGUCUCCUGAAGGAACGUUGAAGACGACGACGUUGAUAGGCCGGGUGUGUAAGCGCAGCGAUGCGUUGAGCUAACCGGUACUAAUGAACCGUGAGGCUUAACCUU